GAGUGUGACAGCUCUUUUAGAAUUUAUCUAACAGGGUUCAGGGUUUAUAAUUUUCACUUGAAACCAUC
ensembl:snRNA U7 U7 small nuclear RNA